rfam:Eubacterium limosum KIST612, complete genome.
GGCAAGUUAAGUCAAUGGCAGACGCUUUGUAGAUUUUUCUAGCUAUAAAGAAUGGGAGUUCAAAUCUCCCUCUUGCCA